rfam:Erinaceus europaeus cont1.184754, whole genome shotgun sequence.
GAAAAAAAAAAUGGUCAAGGUAACACAUCUCCUGCAGACACCAACUAUUUCUUCCCCAGGGCGGGAUUUCUCAAUUAGACCUCCUGUCAUCAACCUCUUCUUGUCUGGGCCCAUCAACAUUUCAGUCAAGUGACUGUGCUGUGAAGUCCCUGGAAGACUAGGACCCCACACUGAGAAGCUCAUCUCACAAGCCCAUCA